AUUGAACGCUGGCGGCAGGCCUAACACAUGCAAGUCGAACGAGUGGCGGACGGGUGAGUAAUGUCUGGGAACCUGCCUAAUGGAGGGGGAUAACUACUGGAAACGGUAGCUAAUACCGCAUACUAUUGGAUCGGCCCAUAUCGGAUUAGCUUGUUGGUGGGGUAAAGGCUCACCAAGGCAACGAUCCCUAGCUGGUUUGAGAGGAUGACCAGCCAAACUGGGACUGAGACACGGUCCAGACUCCUACGGGAGGCAGCAGUGGGGAAUAUUGGACAAUGGGCGCAAGCCUGAUGCAGCCAUGCCGCGUGUAUGAGGAAGGCCUUCGGGUUGUAAAGUACUUUUGGCGGGGAAGCGGUAUCCGCAGAAGAAGCACCGGCUAACUCCGUGCCAGCAGCCGCGGUAAUAC
rnacentral:rRNA from 1 species